rnacentral:rRNA from 1 species
ACGCGAAAGUGGAGCAAUCCAUGAGUAGAGUGGCAAACGGGUGAGUAACACGUGGGUGACCUGCCUUCGAAUGGGGGAUAACGUCCCGAAAGGGACGCUAAUACCGCAUAACAUCCUGUCUUUUAAGAGAUGGAGAUCAAAGCCGGGGAUCGCAAGACCUGGCGUUUGAAGAGGGGCCCGCGCCUGAUUAGCUAGUUGGUGAGGUAACGGCUCACCAAGGCGACGAUCAGUACCCGGCCUGAGAGGGCGGACGGACACACUGGGACUGAGACACGGCCCAGACUCCUACGGGAGGCAGCAGUAGGGAAUUGUUCGCAAUGGGCGCAAGCCUGACGACGCAACGCCGCGUGGAGGAUGAAGACCUUCGGGUCGUAAACUCCUUUCGAUCGAGACGAAUGGCUUCCCAUCUAAUACAUGGGGAGAAUGACGGUACCGAGAGAAGAAGCCCCGGCUAACUCCGUGCCAGCAGCCGCGGUAAUACGGGGGGGGCAAGCGUUGUUCGGAAUUACUGGGCGUAAAGGGCUCGUAGGCGGCCAACUAAGUCAGACGUGAAAUCCCUCGGCUUAACCGGGGAACUGCGUCUGAUACUGGAUGGCUUGAGUGUGGGAGAGGGAUGCGGAAUUCCAGGUGUAGCGGUGAAAUGCGUAGAUAUCUGGAGGAACACCGGUGGCGAAGGCGGCAUCCUGGACCAUUACUGACGCUGAG